AUAUUGCUGAAGGGUCCCAAACUAGGACGAAACGGCUGUCCAGUAC
rfam:Trichobilharzia regenti genome assembly, scaffold: TRE_scaffold0027107